AACCGCGCCUGAUUCGCAAUUCCCCAGUGCCCUAUCCCAGAAAAGAAGAUUCCAGCCCUGAAAGCUCGCAGCGGUGGUUCCAAAGUUCCUGCCACCUCCUCUUCACCACCCUCCACAUCCCCAUCGCUGUCCAGUCCUGGCCCAAGGGCAAGAGAAACAAGACAGGCCAGGAUCAUCUGUUUGUUCUGCAGCCUCUCACUGAGCGCCUACUGUGUGCCAGGCACUGGUCCUGAGCAGCCGGGAGUCGAGACGAUGGAUAACAGCCCUGCUGCAGACCCCCAAAUUCCCGGACGCUUUCUCUUAAGGAGCAGUUUAAAUCUCUGAGGUUCACCGACUGCAAACAGCCAGGAGACACUGCCCGAGGCCGAGGCCGCGUUCCCUUUACAGGAGCCGGCUCGAACCCCAGCCCGUCGGAUCCCAGAGCCCACGUUGCUGGCUUGGCUGCCUCCACUUCACAUCCCAGGAAGCCUCCCCAGACUUGGCCCGGGCAAAACCCACAGGCCAACGACACCUCCCCCGGAUGACUCGCACCCCACCAGGAGCCGGACGCUGCCCUCAGUACGUAUGUCCCUGCGUGUGCGGUGGGGUCAAGGUCAGGACCUGAAGGCAAGCGUGGUCCCUGAGUCACACCCAGGACUGCAGGAGGGCAGGGGAGGUCCUACAUUCGCCCAUGAAGCCCCGGACUCCUGGAGCAACUUGUGUGGGGCAUGGUGGUGCACACCUGUAGUCCCAGCGACUCGGGAGGCUGAGGCUGGAGGAUCGCUGGA